UACAGAGGGGGCAAGCGUUGUUCGGAAUUACUGGGCGUAAAGGGCGCGUAGGCGGCCUUCUAAGUCGAACGUGAAAUCCCCGGGCUCAACCCGGGAACUGCGUCCGAUACUGGAUGGCUUGAGUUUGGGAGAGGGAUGCGGAAUUCCAGGUGUAGCGGUGAAAUGCGUAGAUAUCUGGAGGAACACCGGUGGCGAAGGCGGGUCUCUGGGCAGUAACUGACGCUGAGGAGCGAAAGCGUGGGGAGCGAACAGG
rnacentral:rRNA from 1 species